GUCUGUGGUUCCCCAGCUGAAGGCCAGAUGCCCGUAACUGAUGGCUGAGCCUGAGGCUUGCUGCGUGCUUGGAGUGGGCACCUGCUAUUGCUGAGACUCCAUUUCAUGGCCUGCAGAAUGAGGUCUGCCCCUGGGCUUCCGGAGUGCUUGAGAGUACACGGAGUGGGGUCUGGCACCUAGCACGUGUACAACUAAUCCCAACAGCCAGACCAAUGAGCUUUGGAACUGAGUUUCCUCUCUGGCUUGAGGCAGGGUUCAGGAUCAAUGACUGAGUGGCUAUGCAUCACAUGUGGGAGCCUCCCCCAUGCCCAGCAGGCAGGGCUACAGAGAGCCAGUGUCACGACUGAAAAGGGAAAUGGGUGCUGGGUACACCCACAUAUUAUCAGUAAUUUCCAUAGGCUAACCUCUGGUCCAUAGUAGGGCUAUAAAUGUUUCAUAGUAGGCAUGCCAUUGUGAGCAGGAUCCUGCUGUUUGGCCCAGCACACAGUUGGUGCCCCUUAAAUGUUGUUUGAAGUUUAAAUACAGAUCAGGACAUACAUCAUAAAUGGAAGCCAUUGGCCAUUAGUGACAAGCUAAAUGAUGUCAGUGCACAGAGGUCCCGAGAUCACGUAGGGCUCUGACAGUUCUGCAAGCCUCUUCAGAUACAGUAAACAUUUAGUGCUACUUGCUAUAAGGAAGUUGGCUUGGUGUUUGAUGCCCAGCAGGUGCUCAGAUCUGUACCGUAAGCUUCCUGCAGCUCAGGGUUUGUUCAGCACACAUUCAGUUCCUGUCAAGUUCCUAGCACCAUGUACAGACAGUAUGGGCUCAGUUAUAAUAAGCACUACAACCACUCUAGUGUCAGGUCAUGACAUCUGACACAUAGUAGGUGCUUCAUAUAUGAAAACUAGAACUCAAUUUAAUAAAGGUCCUACAACCUGGGCUGGCAUACCAUAAGUACUUAAUCUAAAACUACUAACAGUACCUGGCACCCAGUAGUUUUCUAAGAGAUGAGAACUCUUGUUUCCCAGGGUAUAGUUUCCCAGUACCUGACAGAAGUAGGUAUUUAAUAUAGGAAGACAAUUACUCUCCAGUGUCUGGUAUACUGUGGGCAUUUAAUAUAUGGAGGCUAUUAGUCCAGUGCCUACCUAACACCAGUAGGUAUUUAAUGCGUAGAGAGUAUUUUUAGUCAGUAAAUCUCCUGAUGUAGUACCUGACACACAGUAGGCACUUAAUCUGUGGUCACUAUUAGCCCAGUCACUGCCUGGCAUGCGUGCAGUAUGUGUUUAACAUUCAAGGACUGUUGGUCCAGUGCCUGGUAUGCAGUGUUUGAUAUAUGGGUGCUUCUAGCCUAGUACCGAUACACAGUAGGUAUUUAAUAUAUGUAGCCUAUCAGCUUAAUACCCUGCACACAGUAGGGCUUAAUAUGCAGGAACUGUUAGCCUAGUGUCUGGAGCACAGAAUGUGCUUAAUAUGUGAGCACUGUUAGCUCAAUACCUAGCUCACAGUAGGUACUUAAUAUGUGUGUUCUUGAUGGUCUGUGGAGUUCAUAGCCCAUCGCCUAAUGCAUAAUAGGUGUUUAGACUAUGGAGCCUUGUUCUUCAGUAGAACCCCUAAUCUAACUUUCUUAUAUAGCCAAUAGCAUAAUACCUAGCACCUUAUAUAGCCAAUAGCAUAAUACCUAGCACAUAGUAAGUGCUUACUCUGUAAGAGCUUCUAGCUUGUUGCCCUGGCACACAGUAGGUGCUCAGUAUGCAGGGACUUUGCCCAGCACACAGCAGGUGUCUCGUAGGAUGUGUCCAGCACUAGUCUGGUUUUGCUACAGUAGAUGUCUGAUGAAUUAUCGCCUCAAUUUUUACUUUUAAAAACACCUGGCAUGCGGAGUUGGCUCAGUGGUAGAGGGCUUGCCUAGCAAGUGCAAAGCCCUGAAUUUGGUCCUCAGCUC
rnacentral:lncRNA from 1 species